AUAAUAAGACAUACUUAAAGAUGUUUAGAUAAUAGAAGCUUUUGGAUACCACUUGUUCAAUAUCAACAUUUAAGAGAGCAUAGAAGAGGAAAGAAAAUAUGAAGAAAUCAAAAUUCAAAUGCCUACAAAUGACUACAUUUAACCCAUGUUCAAUAGCCAGUUAUUGAACACUACAGUUAACUACAAAUGACUACAUUUAAAAUACACAUUGCCUUGAUGUACAGACUUAUAACUAGAUUACAUAUAACUAGAUUUGGUUAUAAGUAAAUUGAAAUACACAGACUUGAACUAUAUAUAGUGUUAGUUACAAAUAACACUGAGCCAGCUAAGUCAUAUGUAGUUCAAGUCUGUAUAUUAAUACAGUGAGCCAGCUACAAAAUACAAAUAACAGCUACAAAACUACAAAUAACAGCUACAAAAUANN
rnacentral:lncRNA from 1 species